GACGAACGCUGGCGGCGUGCUUAACACAUGCAAGUCGAACGGAAAGGCCCUGCUCUUGUUCGGUGCUCGAGUGGCGAACGCGUGAGUAACACGUGAGUAACCUGCCCUUGUCUUUCUGAUAACUUCAGGAAACUCCGGCUAAUACCGCAGAGGAGCUCUUGCUGCAUGUUGGUCGUUGGAGAGUUUCGGCGGUUGGGGAUGGACUCGCUGCUUAUCAGCUUGUUGGUGGGGUAGUGGCUUACCAGGGCUUUGACGGGUAGCCGGCCUGAGAGGGUGACCGGCCACAUUGGGACUGAGAUACGGCCCAGACUCCUACGGGAGGCAGCAGUGGGGAAUAUUGCACAAUGAGCGGAAGCCUGAUGCAGCAACGCCGCGUGCGGGAUAACGGCCUUCGGGUUGUAAACCGAUUUCGCAUGUGACGAAGCGUGAGUGACGGUAAUGGGUAAAGAAGCACCGGCUAACUACGUG
rnacentral:rRNA from 1 species